GUCCCGAUGUGGAGCAGCCAAUCAGAGCUCACGUCAACAUCGCAACCCGGAAAAGAGAAGCUCGAACCAAAAAGAGCGCCCUGGUUGAAAGUGGAGACGUUACCUCAAGUGUCCUCCUCGUCACUACCACCAUGAGUUUCUCCCCUGGUCCAGUCGGCCCCCCCGGGGGAACAGAUAUCCAGGAGCAGAGGGACCGCUGGGAGCGCAAACGCAGCCGAACAGCCAAAGAGUUGGUGCAGACGGAACAACGCUACUGCCAGCAGCUGGAGCUGGUCACCACCUUCUUUGUGGAGAUCUUGAAGGCCAAAGGAACCCUGAGGCAGGACAUUAGAGAAAGCAUCUUCAGUUCAAUUAAAGCCAUUCAUUCUGUAAACCAAUCUCUGCUGGUCCAUUUGGAGAACAGCUACUUUGGCCGCGGUUUUGAGCAAUUCUGUCCCCACCUUUCCCACUACAACACGUAUGCGGACAACAUCUACAAAGCCAGAAAAGCGCUCACGAUCCAGCUGAAGAAAAACAAGGCCUUCAGACGCUUUAAGAAACUGCAGGAAGCCCGAGAAGAGUUCAAAAACCAAACACUGGAGGAGUUACUUCAACUUCCGGUUCUGAGGAUUGAUCAGUAUAAACACUUCCUACAGGACCUGACUGCCAACACAAGUCCAGACAACCCAGAGUUUCAGCAGCUUUCAAGUGCUGUGACUGCGAUAUGCGACGUGUCCCAGCGCAUCCAGGACAACACCCGGCGCCAUGAGAACCACCUGCAGCUCUGCCGGGUGCAGAAACUGCUGAAGGGGCGAAAGACCAAGGUGUUGGCUGCAGGGAGGUGGUUCAUCCGUGAGGGCUGGCUGAAGGUGGUUCCUCAGAAAGGUGCGGUCGCCAAGCCCAAGAUGUUCUUCCUGUUCUCCGACAUGCUGCUCCAGGCCACGCGCUGCGGCCCGAUGCAACUCGCCAACAGGGACAAGUUCGCCGGCAGGCACGCCUUCCCCCUGCAGGAGUGCACCGUGGAGAAGGUGUUCGGCCACACCAGAAGCCAGGGAGGCCUGCUCAGCUUAACCUUCCCCAAAGCCAGUCUUCUGCUGAUGUCCUGCAACCAGGAGGAUCUCAAUGACUGGUACCAGAGCCUGAGCUCAGCCAUCAGGAAGCUGCAGUCUAAGGAGACAGUGGUCCAUCAGAGGGAUGAAUUGUGCCGGAGACCCCUCCGAUCAGCCGCCGACAGCCACAACACGCCCAGCAGCAGCAGCACCCCCGGCAGGAAGAGAAAACAUGAAUGACACAGAUACCUCGUCCAAAAAUGGCCCCUGUAGGUAUAUAAGAGUGGGCUCUGAGACCAGUGAGCAGAGUCAGAGACCCCCGUCUGAGUCGGAGGGCAGUGCCCCCAAGAGGCUGAAGCCGGCUGACGCUCCAGAGCACAGUGAAGAGGCGUCCCCUUCCAGCUGUGUGAUCCUCUGAGGGGUCUUCAGUCUCAGAUGAGGGUGGGUCCCACUCAGGCUGUCUGAGAGUUUCACUGCAGACUGAUUUAAUGCCAAACAUAACGCACACAAAGCUAUAUGUCUGUGUUGUUAACAUUACGUUCAAACUGUGCUUUUACUGUGCAGGUCAGGAGAUUCUGAUUAUUACUAACAGCAGCGUCCGCUUCUGCUCAUCCUGUGCAAUAUACACUUUUUAUUAUAUACUUAUCAUAUCAAUCCUAAGCUGCUUUAAAGACCAAAUAUCAUGAAUGUUUAACUGGGAGCGUUGUGUUGCUGCUGCUUGUCUAAAAGUACAAUGUCAAAACCCCCACACUGCAGAUAACUAGUCAUGAUUUCUCUUCUGGAUGACAUGUUUCCGGGCAGUCCCUGAAUGCACCACUCCCCCAUUAUCUCAGUCUGUCGGCAUUUUACACUAGAUACAGACUUUAGGAUGAAAAUGUGUAUUUAUUAUUUUUAUUUGAUUUAGAUCGAGGAAAAAAUAAACAGUUCAUACGUGGGAAACUGACAAUAUAAAAAAAUUAAUAUAAACAUUAUAAAAUCAAUCAAGUAAAAUGGAUGACCAACUUUUUAAGAUAAACAAUCAAUCCAUUUUUAUUUCUCACAUAUAAUUUUUUCUUUUCCUUUUUAUUGUUACUCUUACAUAUCAUGUCUCUUGUCAGGACAGUUUUAAUAUUAUAUAUUCAAUGCCCUCUCACUUUUGAGCCAGAAAGUGUUGGUGAGAACAUUUGAAAAAUUAGAUAUUUGGAAAAGGUAAAACUGUAAAAAUAAGAUACCAAAGAUUCUGAUAAUAUAAAAACUCACAAUAACAUGUGAUUCAUUAUUUUUAAUUUAGUGUACAUGAUUAUUUUAUAAUAUCUUAUUCUCUUUUAUUUAAUAGUGGCCAUUUUAACAUCCAUGAUUAAGACUGGGAAUGUUUUUGUCCAUCUUAAUACAGAUCCUAAAUGAUUAAUGAUCACACUAUUGAUUAAUGACCUUGUUCAAAUGUAGAAUCACUGGUGUCUUUUUUGAUUGUUUGUUUGCAUGCGGGGAUUAUUAUAAUUAUUUUCAAAUGGAAUCAGUGCCUUUUAAUCAGCUCCACUGUUUUCUAAAGAUGACUGAUUUAUGUGUCUGUGUGCAGGCGAGAAAACCUGGCUAACAGAUUCUAUAUGCUAUUAUCAUGAUGUCCUUUAUUUACAUUUAUCCUUUUAUAUAUUUUAUUUUAUCAUAUCCUUUAUAAACGAAUCAACAUAUAUUUGCAUCUCUACUGCAAAGCUCUUCAUAUAUUUUGUUCACACUAUUUCUUUGACACUUUUGAAAGCUGUUACACUGGUUACAGAUCAUGAAUGAAGAAAUCCUUUGAACUUCCCAAUAAAACUCUAAAACAAGU